GUUGGUGGUCAGGACAAGGUAUGUGAUGAUAUUCCACAUAGCGGCUAGAGCUUGGAUAAUGUAUUCGCAAUUGGGGAAAAGAGUGCUUUUGUUGUUACUAUUUUUUGGGCUGCUAUUUGUUUUACGUAUUUGCUCCUGACAAUGAUCUUGACAUUGCAUAAUCAUUGACAAUACUUGGUGCAGCAUGCCUUUAAUGAUGUAUUUACUUGACUAUUACAACUCUUCUGCAGUGCUUAUGGAUGGUCUUGUGCUGAUUAGAUAUGCUUUAUCAGCACGUAACAUAAUCACAAGCUACAUCUGUUGCCACAUAAUGUUUCGGUUUUCCUUUGUCUGUUUGAGGGAAAGCUGUAGAUUGCAUGGCAGAAAUUUUAUGUUAUCUUCUUUAAUUACACAUUUCUAAUAUAUGUGCUUAUGGAC
rnacentral:misc_RNA from 1 species